rnacentral:rRNA from 1 species
UACGGAGGGUGCAAGCGUUAAUCGGAAUUACUGGGCGUAAAGCGCACGCAGGUGGCUGAGUCAGUCGAUUGUGAAGGCCCUGGGCUUAACCUGGGAAUUGCAGUCGAUACUACUCAGCUAGAGUAUGGGAGAGGGCAGUGGAAUUCCCGGUGUAGCGGUGAAAUGCGUAGAUAUCCGGAGGAAUACCAAAGGCGAAGGCAGUGUCCUGGCUGGCAACUGACGCUGAGGCGCGAAAGCUAGGGGAGCGAACAGG